UACAGAGGGGGGCAAGCGUUGUUCGGAAUUACUGGGCGUAAAGGGCGCGUAGGCGGCCUUCUAAGUCGAACGUGAAAUCCCCCGGGCUCAACCCGGGAACUGCGUCCGAUACUGGAAGGCUUGAAUCCGGGAGAGGGAUGCGGAAUUCCAGGUGUAGCGGUGAAAAUGCGUAGAUAUCUGGAGGAAUACCGGUGGCGAAGGCGGCAUCCUGGACCGGCAUUGACGCUGAGUGAGCGAAAAGCCAGGGGAGCAAACGGG
rnacentral:rRNA from 1 species